GGGCUCCCUUUUCCCUUUAACCACGGCUGGAGGCCAAGAUCAGCCCUCAAGGAUCAUCGUCAGGACCACCAUGAGCUGGACAGCCUUGUUUUUCUACCUCAGAUGUAA
rnacentral:snoRNA from 1 species